UACGUAGGGGGCAAGCGUUGUCCGGAAUCACUGGGCGUAAAGGGUGCGUAGGCGGCCAUUUAAGUCAGCGGUGAAAUUUUGCAGCUUAACUGUAACAGUGCCGUUGAUACUGUUUGGCUAGGAUUUGGUUGUAGUGUGCGGAAUGUGUGGUGUAGCGGUGAAAUGCUUAGAUAUCACACAGAACACCGAUUGCGAAGGCAGCACACUAAGUCAUUAUUGACGCUGAGGCACGAAAGUGUGGGGAUCAAACAGGAUUAGA
rnacentral:rRNA from 1 species